rnacentral:rRNA from 1 species
GCACCUCUUGAGAGCGGCGGACGGGUGAGUAAUGCCUAGGAAUCUGCCUGGUAGUGGGGGAUAACGCUCGGAAACGGACGCUAAUACCGCAUACGUCCUACGGGAGAAAGCAGGGGACCUUCGGGCCUUGCGCUAUCAGAUGAGCCUAGGUCGGAUUAGCUAGUUGGUGGGGUAAUGGCUCACCAAGGCGACGAUCCGUAACUGGUCUGAGAGGAUGAUCAGUCACACUGGAACUGAGACACGGUCCAGACUCCUACGGGAGGCAGCAGUGGGGAAUAUUGGACAAUGGGCGAAAGCCUGAUCCAGCCAUGCCGCGUGUGUGAAGAAGGUCUUCGGAUUGUAAAGCACUUUAAGUUGGGAGGAAGGGCAUUAACCUAAUACGUUAGUGUUUUGACGUUACCGACACAAUAAGCACCGGAUAACUCUGUGCCAACAACCACGGUAAUACAGAGGGUGGCAGCGUUUAUCUGAAUUACAGGGGGUAAAGCACCCAAUAAGUAGGUCGGUAAGAUGGAUCUGAAAGCCCAUUGAAAUGCCCGGGGUCGGGCCC